UACGGGGUGAGCAAGCGUUGUUCGGAUUUACUGGGCGUAAAGGGCGCGUAGGCGGCGCGACAAGUCACUUGUGAAAUCUCUGGGCUUAACUCAGAGCGGCCAAGUGAUACUGUCGUGCUAGAGUGCGGAAGGGGCAACUGGAAUUCUCGGUGUAGCGGUGAAAUGCGUAGAUAUCGAGAGGAACACCUGCGGCGAAGGCGGGUUGCUGGGCCGACACUGACGCUGAGGCGCGAAAGCCAGGGGAGCGAACGGG
rnacentral:rRNA from 1 species